GGUAGUGUGGCCAAGUGGUCCAAAGCACUGGGUUAAGGCUCUAGUCUCUCAGGCAGCAUGGGUUUAAAUCCCACCACUGCCA